rnacentral:rRNA from 1 species
AUUGAACGCUGGCGGCAGGCCUAACUCAUGCAAGUCGAACGAGCGGCGGACGGGUGAGUAAUGUCUGGAAAAAUGCCUGAUGGAGGGGGAUAACUAAUGGAAACGGUAGCUAAUACCGCAUACCAUCAGAUGUGCCCAGAUGGGAUUAGCUAGUAGGUGGGGUAACGGCUCACCUAGGCGACGAUCCCUAGCUGGUCUGAGAGGAUGACCAGCCACACUGGAACUGAGACACGGUCCAGACUCCGACGGGAGGCAGCAGUGGGGAAUAUUGCACCAUGGGCGCAAGCCUGAUGCAGCCAUGCCGCGUGUGGGAAGAAGGCCUUCGGGUUGUAAAGCACUUUCAGCGGGGAGGCGUUACCCGCAGAAGAAGCACCGGCUAACUCCGUGCCAGCAGCCGCGGUAAUUC